rnacentral:ncRNA from 1 species
UUGGUUGAUCUUGCCAUUAGUCAUAUGCUUGUCUCAAUGAUUAAGCCAUGCAUGUCUAUGUAUGAACUAAUUUAAACUGUAAAAUUGUGGAUGGAUCAUUAAAUCGAUCAUAGUUUCUUUGAUUGUACCUUACUACUCGGAUAACCACACUAAUUCUAGAUCUAAUAUGUGCACCAAGUCCAUACUCUUUGAAAGGGAUACAUUCAUUAGAUAAAAGGUCGGCACGAGAUUUCCUUCUUCUUUGUUGUAUCAUGAUAACUCGACGAAUUGCACAACCCUUAUGCUGGUGAUGUUUCAUUCAAAUUUAUUCACUAUAAACUUUUGAUGGUAGGAUAGAGGCCUAUCAUGGUGGUGAGGAGUGAAGGAGAUUUAGGGUUCGAUUUUGGAGAGGGUGCCUUAAAAAUGACUAACACAUCCAAGGAAGGCAACAAGCAUGCAAAUUACCCAAUCCUAACAUUGGGAGAUAGUGACAAUAAAUACAAAUAUUGGGCUCAUAGAUUCUGGUAAUUGGAAUGAGUACAAUAUAAAUCCCUUAAUGAGGAUCCAUUGGAAGGCAAGUCUGGUGCCAUCAGUCACAGUAAUUCCAUUUCCAAUAGAAUAUAUUUAAGUUUUUGCAGUUAAAAAACUCAUAGUUGUAUAUUGGGUCAUAAAGUUCAGUCUUCCUACUCAGUGCGCACCUGCCCUUCUAUCCAUUUUAUCGAAGAAGUGCUCCUGGCAUUAACUAGUUGGGUCAUGGUUUUGGCACUAUUACUUUGAAAAAAUUAGACUGCUCAAAGAAAGCUUAUGCUCUAAAUACAUUAGCAUGGAAUAGCGUGAUAGAAGUUUUUUCAUAUUGUGUUGGCCUUUAGGACCAGAGUAAUGAUUAAUAGGGACUGUCAGGGGCAUUCACAUUUCAAUGUCAGAGGUGAAAUUCUUGGAUUUAUGAAAGACGAACCACUGCGAAAGCAUUUUCCAACCAUGUUGUCAUUAAUCAAGAACAAAAUUUGGGAGCUCAAAGACAAUCAAAUACCAUCCUAGUAUCAACCAUAAACGAUGUCGACCAAGCAUCAAUGAAUGUUUCUCUAAGGAAUCUACCAACACCUUAUGAGAAAUACGAGUGUUUGGGUUCUG